rnacentral:rRNA from 1 species
AGAACGAACGCUGGCGGCAUGCCUAACACAUGCAAGUCGAACGCUCUUGGGGCUUCGGUUCCAAGGGAGUGGCGCACGGGUGAGUAGCGCGUGGGAACCUGCCCUGGAGUGGGGGAUAACCGAGGGAAACUUCGGCUAAUACCGCAUACGCCGGGAAACCGGGAAAGAUUUAUCGCUCUAGGAGGGGCCCGCGUCGGAUUAGGUAGUUGGUGGGGUAACGGCCUACCAAGCCUUUGAUCCGUAGCUGGUCUGAGAGGAUGAUCAGCCACACUGGGACUGAGACACGGCCCAGACUCCUACGGGAGGCAGCAGUGGGGAAUAUUGGACAAUGGGCGCAAGCCUGAUCCAGCAAUGCCGCGUGAGUGAUGAAGGCCUUCGGGUUGUAAAGCUCUUUCGCACGCGAGGAUGAUGACGCUAGCGUGAGAAGAACGCCCGGCUAACUUCGUGCCAGCGAGCCGC